AGAAAGUUAGAUUAUUAAAUUGAUUGAUUGAUAUAAAUUUUAUUAUUAAAUUGAUUAAUUGAUACAAAUUUAAAGCUAAAGAUAUGUAUUUACCCAUGAUUUAAUGGACAUACUGGUGUAAUCUCAAUAUAUAAUGAAAUUCUCUAAAUCCACACAGGAAACAUCUAAUAUUGAAAGCUUUAGUACCAAGAAAUCAGAAAUGUUCAAAGUUGUUGGCUAUGUAUUCCUCUUAAUUCACCAAGGAGAAACAUAAAACGAUAACAGUCUUGGAUGAAGGGUGGUCGUUUUCCAUCUUGUUAUGGCACGUGGCCUGUGUCCAAUUAAUACAUUCUGGAAGUUUCCAAUGAUAUAUGAAGCCAUCACCCUUUUUACUUGUCUAAAGCCACAUGGACUGCCAAGCUACCAUCAAUUAUUUUUUUCGUUUUCCAUUUGUGGGAUUUUCUGUUUUCUGUUCUGAUAUUUUUGGUAUACGCUUAUGUUCCCUUCCUCCCUUAUAAGAAUGCCUUACCAUUCUUGUUUUCCCUGUGUAUAGACAUCAAUUCUCUUUCGAGGAAGGCCUAUUUCAGCUUGAAGCUCUCUUUUUUGUCACUCUACUUUCUCAUCAAGAAUUUUUCAUAAAACUCCCAUUAGUUUCAGGGGUUCUUUAGCUAUGUGCUACCAUCUGUCUCCAACUAUAAAAGCUUCAAUGGUGAAGGAGGUUAUAAGUUUCCAUUAUUGGGUUGAAGUAGCUCCAGCUCCCAUUAUUUGCCCCUACAAACCUUCAAAUUCUCCCUGUUUGGAGACGAUCAUCGAAGAUGCCACAGAAGAUCAUGAUUGAAGAUUCAUAACCUCUCAAGUAUUGUUUUCUGGUGUUUUGGUGUCUUCUUCUUGAUUCACUGCCAUGUUAGAAUGUUAGUGGAGCUCAUAUUUGAAUGCAUAUCUACAGGAUAUCAUGUAAAUUUGUAAUUAGUCUGUGUGUUUUCUUUGAAGUUAAUAAUGUGGACAAAUUUUUUCAGUUUAAUGUGAAUUUCAGCUUUUUAUUCAGAAGUUCAUUAAUUUAAUUAGAUGCAUAAAUAUGUACCAUAAUGUGAUUUUUUUAGUUACAAACGAGGAGAGUGAGAUUCUAACUUGAUAAAAGUAUCAGAAUCAAUGGUAUAAACCUAAAUACAAACUUGGGUAAUAAUUAACUUGCAAUAAGAUCAGAGGCAUUAGCAUAAAGACAAAUCCUUGAUACUGUUAGAACUCUAACUGGAGUCCAACCUUGGUAGUGUAGGAUGUAAUUUCCUAUGAAUAUAUGUAUACCAAAAAUAACGAAAGAAUUUGGUUUGAAUGAUUUUAAGAACAUAUAUGCCCAAAAUUCAUUUAUAAGAGAACCAGAUUACUUCUAUAUCCACAAGUGUCAAUGCUCUAGUUGGCUGGACAUCUAACCCCUUCUCAUAAUAUUUCAAGAUCUUUUAUCAAAUUUUCAUGCAUUUCCUUGUGGUAUCUAUCCAAAAGUUUGGCACUGUAAUUUGGGCCUUUGUAUUUAGCCAACUAGAGCUUCUAAAUAUUGCAUAAGGCUUGGUCAGCGACCCAAAAUGCCUUUUUUGUUCUGUGAAGAUAUUAUAUGAAACAGUAUGCCACUUCAAUGGCUUCCAUUAAAGAACAACAAAGUAGCCCCCAGCUCAUCACUCCAAUUAUUGGCUGGGAAAUUGUGAGAUUCAGUAAUCAAGGCCUUAUAUAAGGGCAGCUCCUAAUAUCAUCCAUUAUCAGUCUCCUUGUCAUCAAUCAUCUCUCUUUCUUGAAGCAGCAAAACCACCUUAGCAGGUUUUGGAUAUUCUGUUUCUGGAAAUGGCAAAGGAAAUUAAAGAUUUGAGUUCUUGGAUUGAAGUUGCACCAAUCCUUUUCAUCUCUUUGCGCAAGACUUCCAAUUCUCCUGGGCUGGAGACUAUUACAGAAGAGGAGACUGAGGAUUGUGAAGAUGAUCUGUAGCCUUUUCUUUUUCUUUUUUCUUUUAGUGUACGUCUGUUUCUUUGGUUUGGUCUCUUGAUUUGUAUUGGCUAUGCAUUUGCGGUCGAUCGAGUCAUGUAUAGACCUCCAAUUUUGAUGUUAGAUUGUCCAUGUAAUUAUUGAAUCAAAUCAGAUGGAACUUUUGCUUA